AAGUCGAACGAAGUAGCAAUACUUCGUGGCAGACGGGUGAGUAACAUGUGGGUAUCUUCCCUAUGGCCUGGAAUAACACGAGGAAACUUAUGCUAAUACCGGAUAAGUCUUUACGGAGAAAGCUUUAUGCACCAUUGGAUGAGCCCGCACUUGAUUAGUUUGUUGGUAGGGUAAUGGCCUACCAAGACUUUGAUCAAUAGCUGAUUUGAGAGGAUGAUCAGCCACAUUGGGACUGAGACACGGCCCAAACUCCUACGGGAGGCAGCAGUGGGGAAUCUUGCACAAUGGAGGAAACUCUGAUGCAGCGAUGCCGCGUGAGUGAAGAAGGCCUUUGGGUUGUAAAGCUCUUUCGUCGGGGAAGAAAAUGACUGUACCCGAAUAAGAAGGUCCGGCUAACUUCGUGCCAGCAGCCGCGGUAAUACGAAGGGACCUAGCGUAGUUCGGAAUUACUGGGCUUAAAGAGUUCGUAGGUGGUUGAAAAAGUUGGUGGUGAAAUCCCAGAGCUUAACUCUGGAACUGCCAUCAAAACUUUUCAGCUAGAGUAUGAUAGAGGAAAGCAGAAUUUCUAGUGUAGAGGUGAAAUUCGUAGAUAUUAGAAAGAAUACCAAUUGCGAAGGCAGCUUUCUGGAUCAUUACUGACACUGAGGAACGAAAGCAUGGGUAGCGAAGAGGAUUAGAUACCCUCGUAGUCCAUGCCGUAAACGAUGUGUGUUAGACGUUGGAAAUUUAUUUUCAGUGUCGCAGCGAAAGCAUUAAACACACCGCCUGGGGAGUACGACCGCAAGGUUAAAACUCAAAUGAAUUGACGGGGACCCGCACAAGUAGUGGAGCAUGUGGUUUAAUUCGAAGAUACGCGCAGAACCUUACCAACACUUGACAUGUUCGUCGCGACUUUAAGAGAUUAA
rnacentral:rRNA from 1 species